ACACCACUGCUUUCCACCAACGACUACUUUAAUUUACCGCCACCGACAUCUCCAUCACCACCUUGCACCAUCGCACCUCGAUGCUACACCGUCAACAUCAUCAUCAACGAAGGGCAAUCCACAUUAUCUGCAACUUGCAAUGUACGAGAGGUAUUUUAAAAUCAUAUUUAAUCUUUUCGUUUUAUUUGAUUCUCCUUAUCUCUAUUUGUUGUGUAUGUGAUAAGAUCUAUGUGUCUAUGUGUAAUUUUAUCACUGAUUCAGAUAGACUUUGAUAUGCAUUAUACCCAUACCUUCAUUCGUUCUUCCAAUUUACCUCCUAAUUUAUUUAUUUCUAUAUUUUUUAAACGGCUUCCAAGUUGUCGAUUGUAUGAGUGGUUCUAAUUUCUGCUACUGGAAUUUGGUUUUCAGAGAUGUGUUAAUCGAGUUGUUGCUCCUAAUGUUGGCUGCAAUUCAAAGUAUAUUACUAUAGCAAGGUAGUACAAGAAAAUGCAUUGCUAUUGAUGGAUUAGUCUGGAAAGUACUUUGACAAGGUGAUAUUCACAUUUGUAGUAUUUGGGGGUGUUAUUGUACUUUGGUUACAUGGUCUUAAUCCCCUCACGUGGCUUUCCAAACAUACACCUCAUUUGAUUGCCCCAUUAUGUACUUGUGACCCUCGUGUCAAUCUCAUAUAUAUAACUUUUUUCUUGAUUUGUAAUAUAUAGAUAUAAUCAUUCAAAUGCAUCAUUAGUUUUUAGAACAUGUAUGGUGUUUUAUUUGGAAAAUUAAUU